rnacentral:tRNA from 1 species
GCGCUUGUAGCUCAAUUGGUAGAGCAUCAGACUACGGAUUUGAAGGUUGAGAGUUCAAUUCUUUCCAAGCGCU